CCCCCGGCUUCGCCCCUGUCUGCACCAGACUUGCUCCUCUCCCCGCCGCCCGACGGCAACAGGUCUUCCGGCUGCCGCUUCUCCGGCCGAUACUGCCGGUGACCUGCCCGCCGGCGCUCGGGCCUAGGCCUGGCCUGGUCUGCGGAGGCCGCCGCACGCCGCCGGCGGAACCUGGCCCCGAGCCCGCCACGCACUUCCGGCGACGCCAGGCGGGGACUGAGGCGGGCGGGGCGCGGCGCGGCGGCCCUGAUGGACGCGCUGGCGGUCCUGAUGCAGGCUUCCUGACCCAGAACGAUGUCCUGCGCAGGGAGAACACCAGCUCAUGGGCCAGGCGGCUUCUUACAUGAGGCUCUUCGAAGCCAGAUUCUCCAGCGACACCCUGAAGGUGGCAUUUCUAAUCAGUCGCCUCGCUGGGCCUGCAGAGGAGUGGGUAGUCCCCUACAUCAGAGGGAGAGCCCUAUCCUAGCUCAAUACGAGGGCUUCGUGGACGCGCUGAAGCGGGCCUUUUGUAGAAAACAACGGGGCCGGGACCCCUUGUGUUGGGAGGGACGGCCUCCAGCCCCUGCGCUCCCCACAAGCCCCGUCCUGCUUGGCUUUGGUUCACAAAGAGCUGUCCAGUUCCCAGCGGCUGCGCCCUGAGCCUGGCUAGGAAGCUUGGCGCCGCCUGUUCUUGCCAGCCCCUCGCCUUUGCCCAGCCCCUGGCCGGGGACCUCUUGGAGAUUGAGUGGACCACCCAGAGUCACGCCUUUGCCACCUGCCGACAGUUUAUAUACCUGAGGACCAUAGGUUCUGACUGUUGUGACAAACACAAAAGGACAGAUUGCCAGAUGCAAACAAGGCAGCAUCAUCGCUUAAUUCCUAGGCAGACAUCCUACAACGUGGGCCUUCUGGAUGUGGAGACUACACGGGACUUCAUACCGCAUCUCCUCUGGAUUUUAGACAGCUGAGGCCUGAAUUGCAAUAAUCCAACUGAGAAAGGAAAGAGUUUUAGUGUAAGGUGGAGGUGAAAGAAGUGGAGAGAAGGACAUAGAUUUGAGGUAUGUUUUGGAGAUAGAAAUGACAAGCCUUAUAGAUAAAUACGAUGUGCGAAGUGUUUCUUCCUCUCUCCCCAGUCAGGAAUAUUGGACUUUCCAUUUCUAUCUUUCUACAUCCUCUUAUUCCUCCCCAAGGGAGGAGGAGGGGAUAAAGUAAUUAGUCAGAGCUCACUAGUCUUUGGACAUCCUUUUCCUUGUGGAUGAGACAUGGAGAUACACUUCCUGUGCUCAGGCAGAGCUGGUCCUCUGGUGCUUAUUGUUGCACUGCAGGGUGAUAGUAUGCCAAUAGCCUCCUAACUACAUCCCUUCUUACUCCCUUCCAGUCCAUCGUUCACACUGGUCAUGGUUACUUCUUUUGUUUAAUUUCUCCAAAUAGUUCACUUAAUUUACCUGGAGAGAUUUGGAAAUCUAUUUUUGGCCUACAACAGUGGAGAUAUUACUAAGAAGCAUCUCCAGUCAAGUUUGUUCUUUGCUUUGGUGCAGGAAUGGCAUUGCCAUUUUUAUGAUAUAAUACUGUAUGUCUCUCACUGGACUUCAUUGUUGGAAGCCACUCCUUUGUCAGGUGACUGUAAAAAACUGCAUCAAAAAAAAUAGAGCCACACAGAAUCUCCAGUUGUUUUAAAAAUAAGAAAAGAAUAGGUUGGUAGAGAUAUUUUCCAUUUUUGAAAGGGUUAUUAAAAAUGAAAUAAAAAAAGUUCAUUACAAGUUAUGAAAAAUGCAUUGACCUUUGAAGUUCAAACAAGCUCAAAAAGAGCAGGAUAAUUAAAGAAGACAAGCAAAAAGUUUAAAAACAUAUAUGAAGCUUUACUAAUGAGCAUGUUUAAAAUAAAUAAUGUAUCUUCAUGAGUUAUUGAUGAUCUUAUAAUUCAUAAGUGCUGAGAAAAACAUAACGAACGAUUUGUAAAAAGUCAUCAAAAGCAAGUAAGAACACAGCCAGCUCAUUGCUUAUCGUGUAACUGAUUAAAGUUCUAUCUAGAAAGUAGAAAGGUAAAAAAAAAAAAAAAGAAAAGGAGUGGGUAACAGAAAGGUAUGGGUACUUGGUUGAAUAAUAUCUCCCCAAAAUUCAUGUCCACUCAGAAGUUCAGAAUGUGACCUUAUAUAGAAAUAGGAUUUCUGCAGAUUUAAUGAUAAAGAUGAUAAGUAGAUAAAGAUGAGGUCAUGCUGAAUUAGGGUGGGCCCUAAAUCCAAUAUGAGUAGUGUCCUGAUAAGGAGAGGAUGUAGAGAGACAGAGACACCCAGGGGAGAAAGGCAGGUGAC
ensembl:lncRNA